rnacentral:tRNA from 1 species
ACCUGGCUGGCUCAGUCGGUGGAGCAUGGGAUUCUUGAUCUCAGAAUUGUAAGUUCGAGCUCCACGUUGGGUG